rnacentral:rRNA from 1 species
UACGUAGGGGGCAAGCGUUGUCCGGAUUUAUUGGGCGUAAAGAGCUCGUAGGCGGUUGGGCAAGUCACGUGUGAAAUCUCCACGCUCAACGUGGAGGCGCCACGUGAGACUGCCCUGACUCGAGUCCGGUAGGGGAGCGUGGAAUUCCUGGUGUAGCGGUGAAAUGCGCAGAUAUCAGGAGGAACACCUAUGGCGAAGGCAGCUCGCUGGGACGUGACUGACGCUGAGACGCGAAAGCGUGGGGAGCAAACAGG